rnacentral:rRNA from 1 species
AUUGAACGCUGGCGGCAGGCCUAACACAUGCAAGUCGAGCGGAUGAAGGGAGCUUGCUCCUGGAUUCAGCGGCGGACGGGUGAGUAAUGCCUAGGAAUCUGCCUGGUAGUGGGGGAUAACGUCCGGAAACGGGCGCUAAUACCGCAUACGUCCUGAGGGAGAAAGUGGGGGAUCUUCGGACCUCACGCUAUCAGAUGAGCCUAGGUCGGAUUAGCUAGUUGGUGGGGUAAAGGCCUACCAAGGCGACGAUCCGUAACUGGUCUGAGAGGAUGAUCAGUCACACUGGAACUGAGACACGGUCCAGACUCCUACGGGAGGCAGCAGUGGGGAAUAUUGGACAAUGGUCGAAAGCCUGAUCCAGCCAUGCCGCGUGUGUGAAGAAGGUCUUCGGAUUGUAAAGCACUUUAAGUUGGGAGGAAGGGCAGUAAGUUAAUGCCUUGCUGUUUUGACGUUACCAACAGAAUAAGCACCGGCUAACUUCGUG